GAUGAACGCUGGCGGCGUGCCUAAUACAUGCAAGUCGAGCGAAUGGAUUAAGAGCUUGCUCUUAUGAAGUUAGCGGCGGACGGGUGAGUAACACGUGGGUAACCUGCCCAUAAGACUGGGAUAACUCCGGGAAACCGGGGCUAAUACCGGAUAACAUUUUGAACCGAAUGGUUCGAAAUUGAAAGGCGGCUUCGGCGGCCACUUAUGGAUGGACCCGCGUCGCAUUAGGUAGUUGGUGAGGUAACGGCUCACCAAGGCAACGAUGCGUAGCCGACCUGAGAGGGUGAUCGGCCACACUGGGACUGAGACACGGCCCAGAAUCCUACGGGAGGCAGGAGUAGGGAAUCUUCCGCAAUGGACGAAAGUCUGACGGAGCAACGCCGCGUGAGUGAUGAAGGCUUUCGGGUCGUAAAACUCUGUUGUUAGGGAAGAACAGGUGCUAGUUGAAUAAGCUGGCACCUUGACGGUACCUAACCAGAAAGCCACGGCUAACUACGUGCCAGCCGCCGCGGUAA
rnacentral:rRNA from 1 species